rnacentral:rRNA from 1 species
AGAACAACGUACAACUCUUAUCGAUAAGCCAUUGGAGGGCAAGUCUGGUGCCAGCAGCCGCGGUAAUUCCAGCUCCAAUAGCGUAUAUUAACGUUGUUGCAGUUAAAAAGCUCGUAGUUGAAGUGAGGGAGUGUGUGUUCAUGAGAGCUAGUUUCGAGUGUUCACAACCUCCCCCCUCCAAUCGGUGUAGUGGGGUAUUCAGUUAUUUCACUACUCCUUUGGUCGUUUACUGUGAGAAAAUUAGAGUGUUCAAAGCGGGCGUUUGUUUGAAUAGAUUAGCAUGGAAUAAUGAUUGAAGGCUUUCGUGUUCGAUUUGAUUGGUUUGUUCAUGGAAGCAAGGUUAAAAGGAACAGUUGGGGGUAUUCAUAU